rnacentral:rRNA from 1 species
UACGAAGGGGGGCUAGCGUUGUUCGGAAUUACUGGGCGUAAAGCGCACGUAGGCGGAUAUUUAAGUCAGGGGGUGAAAUCCCAGAGCUCAACUCUGGAACUGCCUUUGAUACUGGGUAUCUUGAGUAUGGAAGAGGUAAGUGGAAUUGCGAGUGUAGAGGUGAAAUUCGUAGAUAUUCGCAGGAACACCAGUGGCGAAGGCGGCUUACUGGUCCAUAACUGACGCUGAGGCGCGAAAGCGUGGGGGAGCAAACAGG